UUAGCGCCACAUGGUACCUCCU
rnacentral:misc_RNA from 1 species